rnacentral:lncRNA from 1 species
CCGACGAGCCUGCGUACCUACAGCGCGUACAGGGGAAUAGUGCGUAUGUCUCAUCACUGUCACAUUUACCUACCACGCACAUGCUGCAUGCCUCGCUUCAUGUCCACCUGCCCUACGUUGUUUCCCCGCCUGCAUAUGCUGCCUUGCAGAUUGUCACAUCUGCUGCCACCCUGUUGUCUGGCUAUCCCCCAUUGGCUAUUUAAAGCCAAUUCUUCUUUUCUUCUCCUCCAUUUCUUCAUUUUCCUUCUUCUUCUUCACUUGGCUGAGAGAGAGAGAGAGAAAGAAGCUUGAGAGAGAGACGGAACCAAGGAGACUCGAGAAGUUUUCCUCCUUCGCAUGGUAAGCUUUCUUCUUUUCUUCUUAAUUUCCUUUCUUCACUAUGAUAUCUAAGAGUUCACCCUUAAUCUCUUCUUUCACUCAAAAUUUCUAGAAAACUUCUAAAGAUCCACAGGUUGCUGAGAAACCUUCCUCCUUCUUCAAUCCGCAAGCAACCUCAUUUUUUUAACCUGAAAGAUUUAAAGUUUAGGUAAAGGUCUUAGUAUUUUUGCAUACUCUCCUAAGAUAUUUUCUAGACACUAAAACAUUUAAAGAU